AGGUCACCACCAGGAGUGGAGCCUGCGGCUUAAUUUGAUUCAACACGGGAAAACUCACCCGGGCCGGACACUGUAAGGAUUGACAGAUUGAUAGCUCUUUCUUAAUUCAGUGGAUGGUGGUGCAUGGCCGUUCUUAGUUGGUGGACUGAUUUGUCCGGUUAAUUCCGAUAACGAACGAGACUCUCGCCUACUAAAUAGACGGCGUAUCGAAACGUACGCCGAGCUUCUUAGAGGGACAAGCGGCGCCUAGCCGCAUGAAACAGAGCAAAAACUUGUCUGUGAUGCCCUUAGAUGGCCGGGGCUGCACGCGCGCUACACUGAAAGAAUCAGCGUGCGCGUACGCCUGGUCCGGAAGGACCGGGUAACCCGAUGAAAUCCUUUCGUGCUUGGGAUAGGGAAUUGAAAUUAUUUCCCUUGAACGAGGAAUUCUCAGUACAUGCGGGUCAUAAGCUCGCGUUGAUUACGUCCCUGCCCUUUGUACACACCGCCCGUCGCUACUACCGAUUGGAUGACUUAGUG
rnacentral:rRNA from 1 species